rnacentral:rRNA from 1 species
CCUACGGGAGGCAGCAGUGGGGAAUCUUGCGCAAUGGGCGAAAGCCUGACGCAGCAACGCCGCGUGAGGGACGAAGGUUUUCUGAAUUGUAAACCUCUUUCAGCAGGGAAGAUAAUGACGGUACCUGCAGAAGAAGCACCGGCUAACUACGUGCCAGCAGCCGCGGUGAUACGUAGGGUGCAAGCGUUGUCCGGAUUUAUUGGGCGUAAAGAGCUCGUAGGCGGUUUGGUAAGUCGGUUGUGAAAUCCCCAGGCUCGACCUGGGGCCUGCAUUCGAUACUGCCAUGACUAGAGUUUGGUAGGGGACCACGGAAUUCCUGGUGUAGCGGUGGAAUGCGCAGAUAUCAGGAGGAACACCAGUAGCGAAGGCGGUGGUCUGGGCCAAUACUGACGCUGAGGAGCGAAAGCGUGGGGAGCAAACAGGAUUAGAUACCCUGGUAGUCCACGCCGUAAACGGUGGGCACUAGGUGUGGGGACUAUUCAACGGUUUCCGCGCCGACGCUAACGCAUUAAGUGCCCCGCCUGGGGAGGUACGGCCGCGACGACGUAAACGUACAAUAGAAGUUAAGUACGGCGUUGAGACGUUGCCGAACGGCGACGACGAGGGAGGUUAGG